AGCAGGCGUUGGUGGUAUAGUGGUGA
rnacentral:piRNA from 1 species